GAGAAGGAUUCAACCCACCAUUGCUGACUUUGAAGAUGGAGGAAGUGGAUCACUAGCAAAGGAAUGCAGGAGAUGUCUAGAAGCUAAGAAUGACCCCAACAAGGUGGAAAGCAGUCAGUCUUUCAUCAUUAAUUUUGAUGGUAGCUACAGUAAGUCCCCUACAUACAGACCUUCAAGUUGUGAACUUUUGAAGGUGCGAACGUGUGUUCACAUGUCCAGUCACCCCAGGAUGUCUGGAAGCAAGCGUAAAAGCAGUGGUGAUGUAGCUGGUACUGCUAAGAAGUGCCGAGCAAUAAAGAUGGAAACAAAAGUGAAAAUAAUUGAGAGAGUGGAGCAACAAGAGGAAGAAGAAGUAACUGAAGAACCAAAGAGAUGAAGGAAAUGACAAGGGAAUUUUCUUUAUUUGAGGAGGCACUGUUAGUUUUUGAGACACAGGACCCGAACCUAGAACGGUACACAAAGAUUGCAGCAGCCAUUCAGAAUGCAAUCCAGUACUACUGUGUCAUCUAUGAUGAGAAAAAAAGAGCUACUACCCAGACAUCACUGGCUCAUUUUUUUCAAGUGGGUAGAUAAAAUUGAAUGCAGCAAGGAAACAGAACCUGUGCCAUUGAAGUCGGGCAUGAGUGGAAUUGCAGCUUGCCCUCUCUCUCCUAUUGCUGACAAUCCUUCAGCUCUACCAUCUCCCACCUCCUCUCCCUCCUCCAGUCAGUAAUUCUUCUUGCCUGUUCACUCGAUGCCAGCCCCGGUAUGCCAGCUGUUGGACUGUUCUACUGUACUUUUCAAGGGACUGUACUCUAAGAUUAAGAAUGUUUUCUUUAUUUUUUGUGUUUGUUUUUCAUAUAUGAUUUGUGUGAAAAGUAUUAUAAACUGAUUACAGUACAGUACUAUGUAGCCGAUUGUAUUAGUUGGGUACGUAGGCUAAAUUUGUUGAACUUACGAACAAAUUGGAUUUACGAACACGUUCUUGGAGUGGAACUAGUUCGUAUGUAAGGGACUUAAAGUAUAGUUUUUGAUAGAUGUUGCUUGUCAAGUUGAGGAAAUUCUCCUCUAUUCCUAGUUUUCUGAGAGCUUUUGUCUCAAACAGGUACUGAAUUUUGUCAAAUGCUUUGUUCUGCAUUAAUUGAUAUGAUCUUGUAAUUUGUCUCCUUUCACCUGUUGAUGGUGAACUACAUUGAUUGAUUUUCAAGUAUUGAACCAACCUUGCAUCUCUGAAAUAAACCCCACUUACCAUGUGGUAUUCUUUUUAUAUACUGCUAAAUUUUAUUUAUUAAUAUUUUGUUAAGGAUUUUAGCAUCCAUAGUCGUGAGAUACAUCUGUCUUGU